AUUGAACGCUGGCGGCAUGCCUUACACAUGCAAGUCGAACGGCAGCACGGGAGCAAUCCUGGUGGCGAGUGGCGAACGGGUGAGUAAUGUAUCGGAACGUACCUUUCAGUGGGGGAUAACGUAGCGAAAGUUACGCUAAUACCGCAUAUUCUGUGAGCAGGAAAGCAGGGGAUCGCAAGACCUUGCGCUGAUUGAGCGGCCGAUAUCAGAUUAGCUAGUUGGUGAGGUAAAGGCUCACCAAGGCGACGAUCUGUAGCGGGUCUGAGAGGAUGAUCCGCCACACUGGAACUGAGACACGGUCCAGACUCCUACGGGAGGCAGCAGU
rnacentral:rRNA from 1 species